rnacentral:rRNA from 1 species
UACGUAGGCAGCGAGCGUUGUUCGGAGUUACUGGGCGUAAAGGGUGUGUAGGCGGUUGUUUAAGUUUGGUGUGAAAUCUCCCGGCUCAACUGGGAGGGUGCGCCGAAUACUGAAUGACUUGGAGUGCGGGAGAGGAAAGUGGAAUUCCUGGUGUAGCGGUGAAAUGCUUAGAUAUGGCACAGAACACCGAUAGUGAAGACAGCUCACGAGGGCGUUAUUGACGCUGAGGCACGAAAGCGUGGGGAUCGAACAGG